rnacentral:rRNA from 1 species
GACGAACGCUGGCGGCGUGCCUAAUACAUGCAAGUCGAGCGAAUGGAAGGGAGCUUGCUCCCUGAAGUUAGCGGCGGACGGGUGAGUAACACGUGGGCAACCUGCCUGUAAGACUGGGAUAACUUCGGGAAACCGGAGCUAAUACCGGAUACGUUCUUUCCUCGCAUGAGGGAAGAUGGAAAGAUGGUUUCGGCUAUCACUUACAGAUGGGCCCGCGGCGCAUUAGCUAGUUGGUGGGGUAAUGGCCCACCAAGGCGACGAUGCGUAGCCGACCGGAGAGGGUGAGCGGCCACACUGGGACUGGGACACGGCCCAGACUCCUACGGGAGGCAGCAGUAGGGAAUCUUCCGCAAUGGACGAAAGUCUGACGGAGCAACGCCGCGUGAGCGAAGAAGGCCUUCGGGUCGUAAAGCUCUGUUGUCGGGGAAGGACAAGUGCCAGAGUAACUGCUGGCACCUUGACGGUACCUGACCAGAAAGCCACGGCUAACUACGUGCCAGCAGCCGCAGUAAAAC